AUGGUGGACCCUAGAUUCAAGCUUUGCGCUCCAGUUCUGAAGAGAGCAGUAGGUAGACCAAGGAAGAGUCGAAUCAGACCUCGCAGCAAAGGAGCUGGACUUGGAGUGAGGAAGCGUAAGUGCACAAGAUGUGGUGGGUCUGGUCAUUUCCGUAAGUACUGUGAUAACAUAGUAGAUCCAGCGUUCGGAGAGAGUUUCGAUGAAGGCUUCGAUGAAAAUGUUGGUCAGCAGCCGGUUGCCUCAACAGAUGAUGAAAAUGAUGGACAACAGUCGGUUGCAUCAGAUGUGUAUUUUGACGAGGUUCAAAAUGAUGAUGGUCAACAGCCGCAUGAUUUUGACGAUGAUCCAAAAUAUCGUCCAAAUAAUGAUUCAAGUGAGGCUCCAAAUGAUGAUCCAAGUGAGGCUCCAAAUGAUGAUCCAUGUGAGGCUCCAAAUGGUGACCAACCUUCUGUUGUUGUGAGUUCUGCUAGGUAUGUAAAUCUUGCAAGGGUCAAAUACUACUGUACAUUUAUGGGUCACUUGACAUGA
rnacentral:rRNA from 1 species